rnacentral:miRNA from 1 species
AUUCAUCAACCAACAGCGGC